UUAGCCGCAAGUACCGGUCGAUCUCAUUCUGCGCCUUUCUGAACUGAUAAACGAUAUUCCAACCCAUGGCAAGCAAGUAGAGAUAGCUCCUAUCCUGACAACUNNNNNNNNNGUAAGACCUCCUCAAGGAAUCUUCAAGCUGCUCCAAAGGCUCCCGUGUUUCGGGAUACCUCUUAAGCUCGGAGAUCUUGAGCUGCUCCAACAAGUUCCCUAUCAAUUUAAGAUGCUGUGCAAACUGCCUGCAGUUCUUCUUGUGCAUUCGCGCUGUA
rnacentral:misc_RNA from 1 species